rnacentral:rRNA from 1 species
GACGAACGCUGGCGGCGCGCUUAACACAUGCCAGUCGAGCGAUGAAACUUUAACAGAACCCUUCGGGGCGAAGAUAAAGUGGAUUAGCGGCGGACGGGUGAGUAACACGUGAGUAACCUGCCUUAGACAUUGGGAUAGCCUCGGGAAACCGGGAUUAAUACCAAAUAAAAUCAUAAUGACACAUGUCAUAACGAUCAAAACUCCGGUGGUCUAAGAUGGACUCGCGUCCCAUUCGCUAGUUGGUAGAGUAAAAGCCUACCAAGGCGACGAUGGGUAGCCGGCCUGAGAGGGUGAACGGCCACAUUGGAACUGAGAAACGGUCCAAACUCCUACGGGAGGCAGCAGUGGGGAAUAUUGCACAAUGGAGGGAAAUCUGAUGCAGCGACGCCGCGUGAACGAAGAAGGCUUUCGAGUCGUAAAGUUCUUUUAUAUGGGAAGAUAAUGACGGUACCAUAAGAAAAAGCCCCGGCUAACUACGUG